rnacentral:rRNA from 1 species
GACGAACGCUGGCGGCGUGCCUAAUACAUGCAAGUAGAACGCUGAAGGAGGAGCUUGCUCUUCUGGAUGAGUUGCGAACGGGUGAGUAACGCGUAGGUAACCUGCCUGGUAGCGGGGGAUAACUAUUGGAAACGAUAGCUAAUACCGCAUAAGAGUAGAUGUUGCAUGACAUUUGCUUAAAAGGUGCAAUUGCAUCACUACCAGAUGGACCUGCGUUGUAUUAGCUAGUUGGUGGGGUGACGGCUCACCAAGGCGACGAUACAUAGCCGACCUGAGAGGGUGAUCGGCCACACUGGGACUGAGACACGGCCCAGACUCCUACGGGAGGCAGCAGUAGGGAAUCUUCGGCAAUGGACGGAAGUCUGACCGAGCAACGCCGCGUGAGUGAAGAAGGUUUUCGGAUCGUAAAGCUCUGUUGUAAGAGAAGAACGAGUGUGAGAGUGGAAAGUUCACACUGUGACGGUAUCUUACCAGAAAGGGACGGCUAACUACGUG